rnacentral:snRNA from 1 species
ACACGGCAGCCGUGGGAUCCGGGACCGCGGGUGCGGGAGGCGAUCCGGGACGGGUCUGGGAUUCCCCAAAUGCGGGAAACUCGACUGCAUAAUUUGUGGUAGUGGGGGACUGCGUUCGCGCUCUCCCCUG